rnacentral:tRNA from 1 species
CGUAUGGUAGCUCAGUUGGGAGAGCAGCUGAAAAAAAGAAUUCAUUAAUCAUGUUCGUGAUUAUGACAGCGAAACAUUCAAGGCAGGUCAGCGGGUCAGUGGUUCGAAUCCAUUCCAUACGA